GGCGGGGCUGGCUAUUGGCCCGGUGAAUGGGCGUGACUAUGCAAACCGAGCGCGCGUUGGACGCUGGGUUGGGCUAGUGGGGCUUCCCUUAAGACCCCAACAGGAAGACGUCUACUUUACUAUACCCCAGCAGGACAGAGGAUGAUUUUCUCCUCACCCAGCAAUAGCCCAGCCAAUAAGACACUGCCACAACUCACCCAAUGAGAAACUCACUACCUUGACUUUCCUCCGAUGGACUUUCCUUCAAAGCAGCCCCUCCCAACUUCCUCUCUUUUCUCUAGGAGGUCUGCUGCGGUCUGAGAGGAGACACCCCCCGCUCUAGUCCUGCAUGACCCUGGAUGUGACACAGGCUGUCUCUGGC